GAUGAACGCUGGCGGCGUGCCUAAUACAUGCAAGUCGAGCGAACGGACGAGAAGCUUGCUUCUCUGAUGUUAGCGGCGGACGGGUGAGUAACACGUGGAUAACCUACCUAUAAGACUGGGAUAACUUCGGGAAACCGUAGCUAAUACCGGAUAAUAUUUUGAAACGCAUGGUUCAAAAGUGAAAGACGGUCUUGCUGUCACUUAUAGAUGGAUCCGCGCUGCAUUAUCUAGUUGGUAAGGUAACGGCUUACCAAGGCAACGAUGCAUAGCCGACCUGAGAGGGUGAUCGGCCACACUGGAACUGAGACACGGUCCAGACUCCUACGGGAGGCAGCAGUAGGGAAUCUUCCGCAAUGGGCGAAAGCCUGACGGAGCAACGCCGCGUGAGUGAUGAAGGUCUUCGGAUCGUAAAACUCUGUUAUUAGGGAAGAACAUAUGUGUAAGUAACUGUGCACAUCUUGACGGUACCUAAUCAGAAAGCCACGGCUAACUACGUG
rnacentral:rRNA from 1 species